UACGGAGGAUCCAAGCGUUAUCCGGAUUUAUUGGGUUUAAAGGGUGCGUAGGCGGCUUAUUAAGUCAGGGGUGAAAGACGGUGGCUCAACCAUCGCAGUGCCUUUGAUACUGAUGAGCUUGAAUACACUAGAGGUAGGCGGAAUGUGACAAGUAGCGGUGAAAUGCAUAGAUAUGUCACAGAACACCGAUUGCGAAGGCAGCUUACUAUGGUGUCAUUGACGCUGAGGCACGAAAGCGUGGGGAUCAAACAGG
rnacentral:rRNA from 1 species